rnacentral:rRNA from 1 species
UACGAAGGGGGCUAGCGUUGUUCGGAAUCACUGGGCGUAAAGGGCGCGUAGGCGGCUUUAUAAGUCGGGGGUGAAAGCCUGUGGCUCAACCACAGAAUUGCCUUCGAUACUGUCUGGCUAGAGACCGGAAGAGGUAAGUGGAACUGCGAGUGUAGAGGUGAAAUUCGUAGAUAUUCGCAAGAACACCAGUGGCGAAGGCGGCUUACUGGUCCGGUUCUGACGCUGAGGCGCGAAAGCGUGGGGAGCAAACAGG